rnacentral:lncRNA from 1 species
ACCAAAUAUAUAUAAAGAAAACGAAUCAAAAUAUAUUAUUUUCCUUCACAUUUUAAUUUAACCAAUGCUACACACAUAUUCUAUCUCUCAUGUAUUUAUACAACCAAAAUCUUCUCCAAAAUCAUAAAAAUAUGACUACAUUUUAUUUCCUACAAAUCUUCCUACCCAUUUAAAUAAUGACAUGUGUCAUGUUACUAUCCUAAAAUAUUUUUUAAUUUCAUUAAAUGAACAUUAAAUGUUACACAUGUCACCAUUUAAUUGGAUAGGAUGAUAUGUAGGAAGAAAAGGUAGGAGGAUAUUUAAUUUCUCUAGAAAUAUUUAUACAAAUCUUAAAACCCAAAUAUCAUCCUAAAUCUAUCAAGCACAUCCCCAUAUCCCCCAUAUCUUAAUUAAAAAUUAGCUACAUGUGCUACAAGAUCAAUCUUUACAAUUACAAUCAAAUAAAGAUCAUCCCUGUUGCUUCAAUCACGUUUACCAUCUUCUGCACUCUACCCUCAAUCUAACACUCCACCCUUCUUCUCUUUCACUUCCCUGUCAAUAAAGCUCAAAAUAAACAACACAUCUCAUUUAUGAGGAAUCGGUUAUACUAGUAUAUCCUCUAAUUUUUGUUGUUUCAGCCAAGAACACGCACCGCGAGUUAGGAUUUUUACCUGUGAAAGUCAAGAAGAGGCAGCCCCGUUCUCCCUCUCCCUCGGUGACAAGCACCACUCAAACAUCCCUUUCCUCAUCUGUUUUCCUGCUUUCCCUUGUCGAACAACAAGCCUAUCAAUUUCUAUCAAAAACAAAUCCAAACAUCAAUCUUUAUCCUACAUUGAUUCCAAAUCACCCCAUCGCUGCUGCUGCCUUUCCCGAUCACCAAAC